rnacentral:miRNA from 1 species
GCGACACCAGCGGCUGCAGUGGCGGUGGCGGCGGCGGCGGCGGCGGCGGUAGUGGCGGCGGCGGCGUUGG